AUUGAACGCUGGCGGCAUGCCUUACACAUGCAAGUCGAACGGCAGCACGGGAGCAAUCCUGGUGGCGAGUGGCGAACGGGUGAGUAAUGUAUCGGAACGUACCUUUCAGUGGGGGAUAACGUAGCGAAAGUUACGCUAAUACCGCAUAUUCUGUGAGCAGGAAAGCAGGGGACCGCAAGACCUUGCGCUGAUUGAGCGGCCGAUAUCAGAUUAGCUAGUUGGUGAGGUAAAGGCUCACCAAGGCGACGAUCUGUAGCGGGUCUGAGAGGAUGAUCCGCCACACUGGAACUGAGACACGGUCCAGACUCCUACGGGAGGCAGCAGUGGGGAAUUUUGGACAAUGGGCGCAAGCCUGAUCCAGCCAUGCCGCGUGAGUGAAGAAGGCCUCGGUUGUAAGACUC
rnacentral:rRNA from 1 species